GAUGAACGCUGGCGGCGUGCCUAAUACAUGCAAGUCGAGCGAACGGACGAGAAGCUUGCUUUUCUGAUGUUAGCGGCGGACGUGUGAGUAACACGUGGAUAACCUACCUAUAAGACUGGGAUAACUUCGGGAAACCGGAGCUAAUACCGGAUAAUAUUUUGAACCGCAUGGUUCAAAAGUGAAAGACGGUCUUGCUGUCACUUAUAGAUGGAUCCGCGCUGCAUUAGCUAGUUGGUAAGGUAACGGCUUACCAAGGCAACGAUGCAUAGCCGACCUGAGAGGGUGAUCGGCCACACUGGAACUGAGACACGGUCCAGACGCCUACGGGAGGCAGCAGUAGGGAAUCUUACGCAAUGGGCGAAAGCAUGACGGAGCAACGCCGCGUGAGUGAUGAAGGUCUUCGGAUCGUAAAAAUCUGUUAUUAGGGAAGAACAUAUGUGUAAGUAACUGUGCACAUCUUGACGGUACCUAAUCAGAAAGCCACGGCUAACUACGUG
rnacentral:rRNA from 1 species